ACCUGGGAUAGCUCAGUCAGUAGAGCAUGAGACUCUUAAUCUCAGGGUUGUGGGUUCGAGCUCCACAUUGGGCA
rnacentral:tRNA from 1 species